rnacentral:lncRNA from 1 species
GAUAAAACGUUUCAAAGAUAAAAAUGAACAUUUUUUUUUUUUUCAACAAGACAGCUUUACAGAGACAGUCGUAUAUUAGUUUCAGAAUUGUUGUCUUACAGACGAGCCACUCUCAUGUGAUUUCAUAAACUAUUCUCUCUUCUGAAAGGUUUCAGGAGUGGUGAUAAAAAAAACGAGAGAGCGAACAAAAAAAUAAAAAACCGUCUAACCAUCAUUCACAUAUAGUUUUGCAAUAUCGUGGGACGCUUAGGGUUCGCAAAUGACCGCGAAAUCAGAGAGAGAGAGAGAGAGAGAAGAGAGAGCGCGAAAAGAAGCAAGCACAAGGUGGUGGAUGUGGGCGUCCUCCUCGCACACAAGUUAGCUAGUGACGUCACAGUACAUAUUUGGCCAGCCAUGCCGAAAGAAAGGAUUUUGCCAACAGUGUGAUUUCAGUGAUAUACUAACGUAGAUUUCUGCACGUGUAUUGUUACUUAUAUGAAUAUAUAUAUAUUUAUAUUUAUUUUUUUUACAGGCAUAACAUCCCCGCGUGUUUUCCGUUUUCACGUAUAACGUUUGAUUGAAACGAAACUAAGGUCUAGCAAUUUUUCCGAAUUUAAAUAUCGAACGAACCGAUUCCGUUUUACCGAGGUCUUUUAUACAUAUAUAUAAAAGACCUAUUACAAUAUAUGAGUCACUGAUCGUAUACUUUAUGCAUCGUGGACGUUAUAAUACAUACGUGGGUAAGUUAAUUUGUAUAUUUGGAGCGAAGAGCCUAAGCUAGUAAUGUUUAUAAUUUCACGGUUUCACGGCGUAUAGAUGUAUAAUAUGUGUAUUAAAUAUAUACCUUAUGUACAUUGCGUAUGUAUGAUACUGUUGCGAAACCGUUUCUCGUGGCUUUUAUUCGUCAUUUAUUAACAACUUAUGAUUAUACAUACGUUGCUUGACCAUCGAGCGAUUUCCGCCCGCGACUCGGACAAACAAUACCGUUUCUGGUUCAUGAGAUAAGCGAACCUUAUGCGAAUAUUAUACAGAAAUGACAGAUAUUAUACAUACACACGGUUGAUGAUCGGUAAAUCGUAUAUUAUUACAGUAUUCAAUCUCUCAACCUCGUAUAUACUGGCACGAACAUCGAAACCCGGAAAAAAUCGUGUGUCACGGAACACACGCAGAAA